AUUGAACGCUGGCGGCCGGCCUAACACAUGCAAGUCGAGCGAGUGGCGGACGGGUGAGUAAUGUCUGGGAAUCUGCCUGAUAGAGGGGGAUAACUACUGGAAACGGUGGCUAAUACCUCAUACUAUCAGAUGAACCCAUAUGGGAUUAGCUAGUUGGUGGGGUAACGGCUCACCUAGGCGACGAUCCCUAGCUGGUCUGAGAGGAUGAUAAGCCACAAUGGAACUGAGACACGGCCCAGACUCCGACGGGAGGCAGCAGUGGGGAAUAUUGCACAAUGGGCGCAAGCCUGAUGCAGCCAUGCCGCGUGUAUGAAGAAGGCCUUAGGGUUGUAAAGUACUUUCAGCGGGGAGGCGUUACCCGCAGAAGAAGCACCGGCUAACUCCGUGCCAGCAGCCGCGGUAAUAC
rnacentral:rRNA from 1 species